rnacentral:rRNA from 1 species
UACGUAGGGUGCGAGCGUUAAUCGGAAUUACUGGGCGUAAAGCGUGCGCAGGCGGUUUCGUAAGACAGAGGUGAAAUCCCCGGGCUCAACCUGGGAACUGCCUUUGUGACUGCGAGGCUAGAGUAUGGCAGAGGGGGGUGGAAUUCCACGUGUAGCAGUGAAAUGCGUAGAGAUGUGGAGGAACACCGAUGGCGAAGGCAGCCCCCUGGGCCAAUACUGACGCUCAUGCACGAAAGCGUGGGGAGCAAACAGGAUUAGAAACCCUUGUAGUCC